rnacentral:rRNA from 1 species
CCUACGGGGCGCAGCAGUGGGGGAUAUUGCACAAUGGGGGAAACCCUGAUGCAGCGACGCCGCGUGGGCGAAGAAGUAUUUCGGUAUGUAAAGCCCUAUCAGCAGGGAAGAAGAAAUGACGGUACCUGAGUAAGAAGCACCGGCUAAAUACGUGCCAGCAGCCGCGGUAAUACGUAUGGUGCAAGCGUUAUCCGGAUUUACUGGGUGUAAAGGGCGUGUAGCCGGGAAGGCAAGUCAGAUGUGAAAUCCGGAGGCUCAACCUCCGAAUUGCAUUUGAAACUGUUUUUCUUG